GAAGUUUUCUGUGACUGUGUCGAUAGUCGGGAUUGCAUUCGGUCAGUUUUGUAAGUUAUGUUCUUUAGUAAACAGAGUCUUCCCCGGUUAACUCACCAUCUGUUCAAUUUCUGUUUUUAUGUCGUGGUCAGUGGUUGUCGGGACUUCCUUGACCAUUACAUAAGCUGCCUUGUGCCGUUAUCUUGGGUCCCGAACCAAGAGAACGACACAGGCCAGAAAGGAAGACAGGUGACUGAAAGCAUAGCAGUUAAUUCCUUUAGAAACACUCGAAUUCCCGGCGUCGACACAGUCACAGAAACCGAAUCAGCUAUGCACUGGGCUUUGUAUACCAUAGAAACAAAAAUUGCUGUCGACAAUUAAACCGAAAGAAACAGCAACAUUACUUCCACUUCAUCAAAGCGCACUCAACAUCCUGCCACCCAUCAUGAGAUCAUGAUUCUUCCAGCUAUUUCUAUGUUAAACCUAUAUUUCGUAAUUUAAUUUUGUCUUUUCUUUUCUUUUCUACCGAGGAUCAUUGCAGCGUAGGAAGACAUGCCUGGACGUGGGAAAGCUGCCAAGGACUGGUGAAGGAAGUUGCCGAAGAUGAACGAAAGGGAUUUUCCUGCACAUAUGACAAGGAAUGCGUACGGAAUGUGACAGCGGUCGAGCCCUAGCUACCAGAGGACCUGAAACUAAGUUAAGUUCUUGUGUGUCUUAUGGAAUGUAAAUUGCCUAGCCUUAGCUUAGCAAACUCAUGGUAGAUGGUAAGGUGCUGAGUAUGCUUUGUUGACAUGCCGAGUGAUGAUGCUGGUAGAGGUUUAUAUUAGGACACUUUGUAAAUGGAGGCUCCUUUUCGGGGCUUUAGCUAUUUCUGUGGUGUACAGGCCUGGUGUGUGGCUGAUUUUGUUUCUGAAGGUUUCUGUGACUGUGUCGAUAGUCGGGAUUGCAUUCGGUCAGUUUUGUAAGUUAUGUUCUUUAGUAAACAGGGUCUUCCCUGGUUAACUCACCAUCUGUUCAAUUUCUGUUUUUAUGUCGUGGUCAGUGGUUGUCGGGACUUCCUUGGCCAUUACAUAAGCUGCCUUGUGCCGUUAUCUUGGGUCCCGAACCAAGAGAACGACACAGGCCAGAAAGGAAGACAGGUGACUGAAAGCAUAGCAGUUAAUUCCUUUAGAAACACUCGAAUUCCCGGCGUCGACACAGUCAAGGAAACCGAAUCAGCUAUGCACUGGGCUUUGUAUACCAUAGAAACAAAAAAUUCUGUCGAAAAUUAAACCGAAAGAAACAGCAACAUUACUUCCAUUUCAUCAAAGCGCACUCAACAUCCUGCCACCCAUCAUGAGAUCAUGAUUCUUCCAGCUAUUUCUAUGUUAAACCUAUAUUUCGUAAUUUAAUUUUGUCUUUUCUUUUCUUUUCUACUUAGGAUCAUUGCAGCGUAGGAAGACAUGCCUGGACGUGGGAAAGCUGCCAAGGACUGGUGAAGGAAGUUGCCGAAGAUGAACGAAAGGGAUUUUCCUGCACAUAUGACAAGUAAUGUGUAGGGAUUGUGACAGUGGUCCUCGCGGAAGGCGUCUUUGUGCCUUCUCUCGUGGGUUUAAUUGGAAGUGUUCAUUAGUUUCUUUAGAAGACAUUCCAUGACUUCAUGUUUAGAUGUCUUGAUGAACAUGGGACCUUUCCCAGACAUCUGACAAGCAAUGUCUGGACGUGCUAAGGGAAAGGUGGGCAGAGAAGGUGCCAGGCGUCACAGUCACGAAUGCGCUUCACAACAUCCGGAGAGACAGUACUAGUGGUCCUCGCGGAAGGCGUCUUGAUGCCUCCUCUCGUUGUGGGUUUUCUUGGAAGUCUUCCUCAGCUUCUUCAGAAGACAUUCCUUGACUUCAUGUUUAGAUGUCUUGAUGGACAUGGGACCUUUCCCAGACAUUUGACAAGCAAUGUCUGGACGUGCUAAGGGAAAGGUGGGCAGAGGAGGUGCCAGGCGUCACAGUCACAAAUGCGCUUCACGGCAUCCGGAGAGACAGUGGUCCUGGCGGAAGGCGUCUUGAUGCCUCCUCUCGUUGUGGGUUUCCUUGGAAGUCUUCCUCAUCUUCUUCAGAAGACAUUCCUUGACUUUGUGGACAUGGGACCUUUCCCAGACAUCU